rnacentral:rRNA from 1 species
CCUACGGGUGGCAGCAGUGAGGAAUAUUGGUCAAUGGACGAGAGUCUGAACCAGCCAAGUAGCAUGAAGGAUGACUGCCCUAUGGGUUGUAAACUUCUUUUAUAUGGGAAUAAAAUGUUCCACGUGUGGGAUUUUGUAUGUACCAUAUGAAUAAGGAUCGGCUAACUCCGUGCCAGCAGCCGCGGUAAUACGGAGGAUCCGAGCGUUAUCCGGAUUUAUUGGGUUUAAAGGGAGCGUAGGUGGAUUGUUAAGUCAGUUGUGAAAGUUUGCGGCUCAACCGUAAAAUUGCAGUUGAAACUGGCAGUCUUGAGUACAGUAGAGGUGGGCGGAAUUUGUGGUGUAGCGGUGAAAUGCUUAGAUAUCAUGAAGAACUCCGAUUGCGAAGGCAGCUCACUGGACUGUAACUGACACUGAGGCUCGAAAGUGUGGGUAGCAAACAGGAUUAGAUACCCCUGUAGUC